rnacentral:lncRNA from 1 species
GAGACGCAGAGCGGGUCGAGGCAGUAGGCGAACUCCCUCAGCCGCGCGGCCUUUCCGAGAAUGGCGGCGUCCAGCUCCCUGAUGAUCCUCUUGGAGCUGGAAGCCGGGCCCUCCACUAGGAGGCAGUGGGAGAUGUUCAGCACCUCCAGGUCCUCCAUCCGGUCGAGGAUGAACAGCAGCGCCUCCCUGGACAGCCUGGAGCAGCGCACGCUCAGCACCUUCAGCCUGGGGAGGUUGGAGUGGAUGCAGGUGGCGAAGUUGACGUCGAAGGAGCCCAUGAUCUUCAGCUGGCUGAAGUUCUUGCAGCUCCGGCUGAUCUCCUCCAUGAUAUACGGAGGUUGCAGGAUGGUGGGCAUCGUCAUCGACUCCAGCUCCUCCCACCUCCUGAUCGCCUGGCAGAUCCCCGUCUUCGUGAUCCGAUUCCAUGCCGGCAGCACCAGCCGCUUCAGACGCGGGCACCUGAAGAUGAACAGGGUUGACCCCCCCCUCAUCAACCAAAAAAAGAAAAAAAAAAAAGAGAAAAAGAGAAGAAGAAAGAGCUAUGAUUAUUAGUGCCUUUCAGCGAUGUAGUUCAGAUGCUCGUCUUUCAUGUAGAGGUCGAAGUGGAAGAUCAUGCAGGAGAUGUUCCCACGGCUGAGGGCCAUGGCGAUCUUCAGCACCCCGGUCAACCUCCGGUCCGACCGGUCGUCAACCCAGACGUAGGGCGAAGCCCGGGUGGGGAUGAAGUUCGACUUCAUCCGCCCCAGGUCGAGGACUCCCCAGAGCAGGGGAUCUGCGCAGGCCAGCCGCCAGGAGCGGCAGACCUGCGACGCCGGCGCCAUCUCGAUCAUGUUGAGCUCCUUGAAGAUCUUCACCAGGGCGUCCAUCUCCAUGUCCUCCCACCUUCUAGAUGUCGGCCUGAUAUCGGCCAUCCUUGCUAGCCCUACAACUAUGCGCCAAAAAUCACAGAGAAUUGCACCCUCAGAGGUCUGCUGCUAGGAAAAUGGCCGCCACAAAAAUAGAAGAGUGAAAAAUGUAGAGAGAGAAACUGUGACCCAACUGGUGGGGUUCGAGAGAAGGCGGGGAAAUAGGCGCGCUUGUCAUAGAGGGAGGAGUUAGAGAAACAACACCUUUCAGAGCAUGGAAUUCCGCCAUUAAUGUAUUGGACAGAAAUGGGUUCCAGAUGUGGUCUGAAAUGCAGGUACUCAAAGCAAGAUCUUCAAGGAGAUAUAGAAACUAAAGGACCACGAUCCGGUUUAUAAACAAAUAUAUGAUUCAUCCUGUCCAGAUCUCGAGAAUGCAACAUCCCAUCAUCUGGGAAGCAGCUUCUUCACUCGGAGAUCAUGAUUUAUACAGAAACGGUAUUGCUAUCCGGAGAGAGAAAAAGAAAAUCUCCUAUUUGCAUCAGCUGGAAUGAUAGACACCACUCAUUUGGAAAACAGUGAUUAGAAAGUUCAAUUAACUAUUCAGGUAGAAAAAAAAAUCAAAUUUGCAUUUCUAGUGACAUCACAGAAUUCAUCAAGACAAGUGAGGAAAGUGUUCCACGAAGACGUGGCUACCUAGAACGCAGGCUAACCUACUAUUUGAGUUUCUUUUUAAAAAGAACAACGCAGACAAUGGAGGGGGAACGAAAAAAAUGAUGAAUUGCGCGAAAAAGAGACAUCAUCAAACUGUCCCUAGUCAAAGAACAGCAAGCAGUAAUUCCGAGGUGCAGUUCUUGCAGAUGCAUUGUCCUGUGACAGUCGUAUCUGAUACGAAUUAAUAGGAUGCAGAAGAUUUACUGGCGUAACAUACUAAAGAGGGCAAAGAAAACGAAAUGCAGUAUCCUAAGCAAUUUCUCCAAAAUAAUAUUCCCCAAGAAAUAUUAGCAUCCAAAGAUAGCAUCACACAUGAAGCCCGCCCAUCCCCCCAAAGAACAAAUAUAAAUCUUCAUCUACCUCUAACUAUAAGGUGACCAGACGCGCUAAUACAUGCUUUGGGAAGGGCAUUUUCCAGGUGAAACGUAUGGUAUCUUCAUUCACCAGAUUACUUCUGGAGUGGAAAUAGGUGAUACCGUGCCUCUUUCUUCAUCACCUAUGCAUCUAAUCCAGCAAUAAUCAAACAUUCCGCACCUUAAUUAUUUAUUCAUUCACAGACUCUAUAUCCUAGGUCACCUAUAAUUCAAGUAAAUGAUCACGAUAGCCAUUACACCGCCUCUAUGAGGAAGUGUCCUCCAAGACAGAGUUCUCCCUCAAAGAGGUUCUCUUAGAUGUAACCUACCUCUUAUACUUCACAUGAACCACCCGACUUCCAACUGCCAGCAGAGUAGCCAACCUCCCUUUGCUUUACAAUUUUACCUAGAAUUGUGUCAUAUUAUCCACAUUUUCUCUCUCAAUGAUCCCAACCAAUUUCCUUAUCUGCUCUUCUUUCUACUUCCUAAGAUACUUUCAGGAUUCACAUCGCAUGCCUGUCAGUCAACAUCUCCAUUAGAGGUUCUAAUGAAAAGUAUUCUAAAUAUGUUCUUCAUUCAUUAGAGCCUAAUCUUCAAUAGUUUCUCUGUCAUGGUGGUUAUCGCACAAUGCAGCAGUGCAAAAAUUUAUUUGCCAUUGAGUGUUGAACAAUGUUACUUUUGAACUUAUAUAUCAUCUGUAAUAUCUUUCCACGAGCUUCCAACUUCCAUACUCUUUUCAAUUGAUGAAUCAUUCAUCGUGCAGCAGCGGCCUAUUAAAAGUUCUUCAGACUCUUUUCCAAAAAGUUCUCAGAUUCAUCAACUUAAAUGCCAGAGAAGGUUUAGGAGGAGCAUGUCUAAUCAGACAAAAUAAAAGUGAAACAUUGCGCAGAACUUAAGGUUUUCAGCCUUCGCAUAGUUCUAGAUUUUUCAACUUUCUCUAGGCCCGGAUACCAUAAAUGAACGCAUAAGGACAAAUAAAAGUUGCCAGUAAUGCGUAAGAAUUCUUUCAGGUAAAAAUAACAUGUAAUCGUUAAUUGUUGUAGGAAGAACUUUACAUUAAAAUUUCUCUACCAUCUUUUCCCAUAUAAAAUGUUGCUGUUCAUUGGAAAAUAAGUCUUGAGAGAGCAUUAAUUUUUUUGGUUAGAUAAUGACCACUGAAAAGCUACAGCAAAAUCACAACUUUUCCUUAUUUACAUACAUGAUCCUAAUUGAAGCUCCGAGCUAAAAAAUAGAAUUGGCAUUUGGCUGGUAUCAUUAAUAAGUCAUUUCGAUGCAUAUAGUCAUUUAAUUUAAAACAGUUCAUUAUAUAUAUAACUUUGCCACGUUCUCCCCUUUUCUGAAACGACUGUAUCAGACAGUUUAGAGAAUCCAUCAAAUACAUAUUAGUUAUCAUGGUCGUCAUCAGAAUCAACCUAUACUUUUGCCGUCAAAAGGCCAAAUUAAAAAUAAUUAGAUGCUAUAACCUAAGUAUCGGACUAAAAUCUUUCGGACACCUUGACUUCGCAAUACCAUUCUACAGUAAACAUGGUUUUCGAAUGUUUUGCAUAAUUCGUGUAAGAAAGAACGUUUUAUCCAGGUGAUCAAGAAAGCAAACAUCUCAAAAAACGAAAGUAAAUAGGAAUAGACGAUUGCAUUACACCUAGGUAAAAGGAGAUAAAAGGAGUACUUUCACUAAAAACUCCAAAAUAAUUUAAUCAUGUUGUGUCAUGUACCCGUGCUCACUAACGUCAUGAGUUGAGGUAACCAACGUGACAAUGAGGUAUAUCGCAUCUGAUAAUCGCGUGACCCAAGGAAAAAAGCGAAGCUUGAUAACCGAUCGUUUUUCCGCCACAAUUAUCAGUGCAAUAACUUUAAUACGUCUGUACUUUGCCUUGUCGUUCUCUUCCGUCGCCAAAUACCGUUUCGGAAAAGUUUAAUCGCCAAAAUCAAUCUUUCUCAUAAGAUUUCCCCGUCAACGACCAUCUCAUUCAAACGACGUGGAGAAAGACAAUAAAACUCGAAGAGGAAAAAGGUAUCAAAGGAACAGAGACGCACACGAUCACGGACAUAAGAAGAAAUCGAACGGGAAAAAACGACCGCUUAUGAAAGAGUAGGAGCGAAAUUCAGCGUUUCCCCUCCACUGAUCACUUCCCUCUCCCUUGCUCUGCCCCUGAAGAACGCCGGGACAAAGGAUCCUCUCCUAUCAGUAACCAAACGCCCUCUUCAGUUUGAGAAAAAAGCAAAAAAAAUCAUAAAGAACAAUUCCCAAACCCCGAUGCCUCGCAUCCAACUAUAUUUUCCUUCCCCCGAUCAAAAACGGCGGGGGAUUUAUCUCAGACCAGUGAAAAUAAUAGAUGCAUGCUCACAUCGAGAGCAAACAGAUGGCAAAACCAAAGAUCGGCACAUCCAAAUCUGCAGCAGAGCGCGGAAUUACCUUUCCACUCCGCUUGUUCCGCCUCCAGCUCUUCUUCAUCCCUCCUCUCACUCCUCCCACCCCCUCGCCCUUCCGCCCCCUAUCGCCACUCCCGCGGGCAGUUUCAUGUCCCAUUUCUUUCCCAUAAAUAGCCACAUUUUCCGGCGUGAAAAAAAAGGGCUCGCACGGAGCGUCUCAGAGGACGUUUUCCAAAACGGAAAGUGCAUAAAUUAUGUGUGAUUUAUCUCGUCAUUUAUGACGUCACUUGAACCCUGCUCACAAUGAUAUAGGGCUGGACCCCGGCUCAGCCCACGGAAAGAAAAUGGCCCUGGCCCACUUAGCCCCAUUGUAAGACGGGUCUGGUCCGUACAUGUUGGGCCCAGUUCACAUGGAUAUAUAUGGGCCCCUUCUGGAAGGAGAGAGUAGAUGAUGACGUCAUAAUUUGUCAACAUAUUCUUAUUCACAGGAAAUGUAGAUAUGUGAUACACCUAUGUUAGCUUAUGCAUUAAUUGAACUUUGGUUGCCAUGCUAGCAUCUCCCAUUUUCUUUGUUUGAGAUUGCUCUCAAAAGUUGGAGUGAGUCUAGUUUUGAGCUUUUAUUCAUAUCACUAAAACUUAUUUUACCAUGAAAAUUUAAAAUAUCCCAUCUAUGUAAAUAUGUUUCUCUAUUUUCAUCUGUACGACCAUUUUUUACUACGACCAAGUUUAUUUCCGAUGGUUUUCGCAUCUGCCCUUGUUGGUGACCAUAGAUACAAUUUCCAUGUGCCAUAAAGUUGUCAAGUUUGUUGGCCUAAGGUGGUAUGCCAACCAUGGAUUGGAAAAGUUUUUCCAAGGCUGUAUAUGAAUUGGGUUAGAUUUCAAUUCAGCUUUAGUUAUUGGUUCAAUACUCCAAUACUCCAACAAGUGAUUUUGUCAUCAUUAAAAUAUGAUGACUUCAAUACUCCAACAAGAAGGCCAUCAUCAAUUCUUGCUCACUAGUUAUUGGUUCAUAUGUGUGACAUCAAAGGCCUAGCCCAUAUAAUUGAUGUAAUUCUAACAUCCUUAAUUGUGACUUCUUCAAUUGACAAUGGAUAGUGGAUAAGGACAUGCAUAAUUUCAACAACCUAGGAUUUCUUUUGAAGGUUUUAAUUGUGUGGCCCUCUUUAUAUUACAAGAUGAGAUCCCUCUAGUGGAUAUGAGUCCACCCCAAGGUAGACAACCAACAUAUCCCUAUGAUGACAUAUCAUUCCCCCAAUGACAGGACGCAAGGUAAUACCUUGAACUUCAAAGGUGACGCCCACUUGGUAAUAAAUUCUUUGAUAAUUUGAGUGCACAUGAAAUUAUGAGUAGCUUCACUGUCUAUUAGGAUGUUGAUUGCUCUGCCCUUCAGCGUAACCUACAACUUUAAUGUUUUGAGUUAGUAUACCCUAAUAAUAGAUUUGAGAGAAACAUAGGUAGUAGUAAAUAACGUACCUUUUUUGUGUUAUUAUAUCAUCAAAAUGUGCCCAAUCUUCCAUGUCUGGCUCCCCUUCUCGUUGAAUUAUUUCGUCUUCAUGGACUAUCAUAAUUUACAAAAAAAAUUUGCAAUAGUAAUCAGACCCAAACUUGUCAUUUCAAUGGAAACACAAUCCGUUCUCUCUCCCUGCAUGUAGUUACAAUUCUAUGAGCAUUAUGUGCAUCUUUGGUCUAAUGGAUUCUAAUUGGGCGGCUGUGGGUGGCUUAUGGAUCUCUAUAGUAUGACCAGUUGCCUUGACUUGCUCAUGAGAGAAAUCUUGGAGCUGGGCUUUGAAGCUGAAAGAAAUCUCUAGUACUGGUUGUAAAGUUGGAACUAGCUCCUAGUACACUCCUGCAACUCAUCCUGCAAGAAGUGUUCCAUGUUGUCCAUAAGGCUGUCAAACAUUUCUCUACAUGGAGACCAGUGUACAUAAUGUCACGUAGUCCUACCAAAUGGUCCCCUAGAUUUCAGAUUAAAUUUCAGGCUUUAAAACUUUGAUGAAAGUCUGCUCCAUAACAAUAUCUUGAAGUGGAGGUAGGUAUACCGAUAACUGCUCAAAUUCUGGUCUAUAUUUACUGACAGUUCCCUCAUACACUAUGUUUAAGAAUUUGUGCAAAAUAUUGUCAAAUAGAGAGUGGCCAGAGCACGUAUCUAUCUGAAUCUUGAAGUUUUGUCAAUCUUUAAAAGAAUAUCGAUCCUCAGUCUAGAUAAAUCAAUGUAACACCAUGCCUUCCAUAUAUGUCAAAACUAAUUUCAACCGCUUUGGAUCCACGAUUUUGUUGAUCCAAAAAUAUCUAUACUUCAGAUCCAACCUUCGACAUCCUCCCCUUUAAAAAUAAGUCACCUUUCUUGAGUGCUUGCUGUUAUCUUGGGGGCUCAUCGUGCCAUAAUAAUAGUUUGAUGCAUAGGGUUGGGGGCCUCUACGCGUCAGCUGGAAGCGGAGGGGCCAGGAUAAGGCACACCGUCAUCAUCAUCAUCAUCCCUACGACUGGCUCUCUUUCCGCAGUCAACCACUGCCUACUCCAGCCACACAGCUUAGUUGUGGAGCGGGUUGGCGCCCUGUGGCGCCCUCCUCGCCGACACCCCAUAUGCCGCGGGCAUCCCACUGCGCUGGCAUGAACGUCUCCCUGCGCCGCCCAGUGCCCUCCAGUCGCCGCCACCUCUCCCACAGUGCCCAAACCAGCGCUCCCCCCACCACCAGCACAAGCACGAAGACCGCCCCCUCCAAUUCAUCACAACUAGAAGACCGCCAGCGAGCGAGAGAGAGCCAGAGAGAGAGAGAGAGAGACCAGCCAAAAGCCCGGCCCCCCGCAAAACCCAUCUUAUUUCCUCUGCAAACAAGAGUGCAACAAAAAAAAAGCCCAGCUGGUGGGUAGGCAUUGACUCGUCGGCUUACAUGCCAGCCGUCGAAAAACUAGCUCACUGCGGUCUCCGGGAUCGUCGGCAGCCCUCGCACCCGCACCAGGCGUCGACUUAUCGGCAGAUCUGGCUGACGCACCAGUCGUCGAAGAGCUUGCCGUGGUCUCCGAGAUCGAGGCAGCUGACCUCGUCCUUGCGCCAGAACCAGUCCUCGUACCUGUACCACCUCAUGCGGCCCUUGUCAACGCUCACCCGCCGGCAGGAGACGCAGAGCGGGUCGAGGCAGUAGGCGAACUCCCUCAGCCGCGCGGCCUUUCCGAGAAUGGCGGCGUCCAGCUCCCUGAUGAUCCUCUUGGAGCUGGAAGCCGGGCCCUCCACUAGGAGGCAGUGGGAGAUGUUCAGCACCUCCAGGUCCUCCAUCCGGUCGAGGAUGAACAGCAGCGCCUCCCUGGACAGCCUGGAGCAGCGCACGCUCAGCGCCUUCAGCCUGGGGAGGUUGGAGUGGAUGCAGGUGGCGAAGUUGACGUCGAAGGAGCCCAUGAUCUUCAGCUGGCUGAAGUUCUUGCAGCUCCGGCUGAUCUCCUCCAUGAUAUACGGAGGUUGCAGGAUGGUGGGCAUCGUCAUCGACUCCAGCUCCUCCCACCUCCUGAUCGCCUGGCAG